AUCCCUGUGGCUCUGUUGGGCCACAUUCCUACAAGCUAAGGCAUUUGAUUGGAUUUUAAAUAUAAAAGGAAGUCACUGGGCAGGUGGAGGUAGAAGAUGGGUCAGUAAAUGACUAAUGAUAAUAGAAACAGUGUGUCCCAGAUCUCUGCGAUGGCCGCGCAGAUAGGAAGUUCACCUGUUGGAUAAAGAAAAAGGGGACCCUGUAGGGAGAAAUAAUCGCUGGCACAAUCUCCAAUCUUUCUAAGAAUGUGUGGCCACUUUGAGUUGUUCGAAGCAGGGCUGGGGAACCGUAUAUUUAAUCUUCCAGGUUUUCAACAUCCCAUUUCUUUCCCUUAAAACACAGGAUGGAUUUCCGAAUCCCAGGCUGUACCCGGAGUCCCCUCCCAACAACUGACAACACUAGCAACCUCCCAGCUUCAGGAAGUAGAAGGGGCAGGAGUCACCGGUGCCAGCCGCCUGGCCUGACCCCAGCUCUCAUCGCCUCCAGGAGGACGCUUUCUCUGGUGCGAACUUUGACGGUGGGAGUGUCAAGAAAGACAAGCAGAUAGAUCAUGACAGAAGCGAUCAAUACUCAAUACUCGGGGAAAUGCAGGACCUGUCGCUGUAUGCUGGGGCAAAAUCAACGUGCACCGAGGCCUGCGCUUCUCCGGGCGCUUUCCCAAUAUUGCUGCGCGGGGACCUCCGUGCCCCAGGGCCGUGCAGGUGUCCCCAGAAGAGCAGCCCGGGGUAGGGGGGCCCUGACGCAGCCAAGGCCGGAGGGGAGAGAAGUGCCACCACCUGGAGAGUGGGCCGGAGGAGCGCGCUGGGGGAUAUAUGGCAGGAAGCCUGGAACCAGGCCGCCCCGCGAUGCGUGUUCGGGCCUCCGGAAACCUGGCAAGUUGAGGAGCAGGAUUUCUCGGACGAGCCUGCACAGCCGGGCAGAGCCCUGAGAGAUCCGCGGGGAUAUGCUUCUAGCAGCGACGAACAGGGCAGCCCGAGUGGCUCAGCAGUUUAGCGUGAUCCAGCCCAGGACAGGAGAUCGAGUCUCGGGAUCGAGUCCCACGUCGGGCUCCCUGCCUGGAGCCUGCUUCUCCGUCUGCCUGUCUCUCUCUCUCU